rnacentral:rRNA from 1 species
GGGAAACUGCCCGAUGGAGGGGGAUAACUACUGGAAACGGUAGCUAAUACCGCAUAACGUCGCAAGACCAAAGUGGGGGACCUUCGGGCCUCACACCAUCGGAUGUGCCCAGAUGGGAUUAGCUAGUAGGUGGGGUAAUGGCUCACCUAGGCGACGAUCCCUAGCUGGUCUGAGAGGAUGACCAGCCACACUGGAACUGAGACACGGUCCAGACUCCUACGGGAGGCAGCAGUGGGGAAUAUUGCACAAUGGGCGCAAGCCUGAUGCAGCCAUGCCGCGUGUAUGAAGAAGGCCUUCGGGUUGUAAAGUACUUUCAGCGGGGAGGAAGGCGGUGAAGUUAAUAGCUUCACCGAUUGACGUUACCCGCAGAAGAAGCACCGGCUAACUCCGUGCCAGCAGCCGCGGUAAUACGGAGGGUGCAAGCGUUAAUCGGAAUUACUGGGCGUAAAGCGCACGCAGGCGGUCUGUCAAGUCGGAUGUGAAAUCCCCGGGCUUAACCUGGGAACUGCAUUCGAAACUGGCAGGCUAGAGUCUUGUAGAGGGGGGUAGAAUUCCAGGU